GUUAACAUAGAAAAGCACUAUAUGGAAGCUAGGGACAUUUUAUUGAUUGAGCCAAUGAUGAUUGGGUAUUUUGAAUGGUGGUAUGAGUAAUGGAAGGUGCAAAAAUGUUUUUGGAAGCUUUUAUGGUUGAAAAAGAAUUUGGAGAAUUGUGAGAGAAAGAAAAAAGGAGAAUGGAAGAAACAUAUCAAGAGGUGGUAGCUCUGAUACCAUAU
rnacentral:lncRNA from 1 species